rnacentral:rRNA from 1 species
UACGUAGGUGGCAAGCGUUAUCCGGAUUUACUGGGUGUAAAGGGAGCGUAGACGGCUGUGCAAGCCAGAUGUGAAAGCCCGGGGCUCAACCCCGGGACUGCAUUUGGAACUGCGUGGCUUGAGUGUCGGAGAGGCAGGCGGAAUUCCUAGUGUAGCGGUGAAAUGCGUAGAUAUUAGGAGGAACACCAGUGGCGAAGGCGGCCUGCUGGACGAUGACUGACGUUGAGGCUCGAAAGCGUGGGGAGCAAACAGG